GGAGUAUGUGGGUUUUGCUACCCUCCCCAACCAGGUCCACAGGAUGUCAGUGAAGAAGGGGUUUGACUUUACCCUCAUGGUGUUAGGUAAGAGAUGCAUAAUCACACUCGCAUAGCGUAUGUGCUGAUUGAUGCUGCUGACUGAUGCUUUUGUGCGUAUGUGUGUGUUGUCUGGUUUGGGAAAGUCUACUCUGGUCAACAGUCUGUUCCACACAGACCUACACAAGUAAAGGAAACUACACAGAGCAUAUCACCAGCCAGGUCACCCGCGAUACAAGUCAGACGUACAUCCAUGUCUGAGGAAGUCGGCAGAUGAUGUGGAAACCGGCCACUAGGGGCAACAUUGAGUGCUGUUACCUUUAAGUAGGUUUGGGUUUUGCGAGGGCGUUGUGGACGGGGAUGUUGGAUGGACAUAAGCGUCGGCCUCUGAUUCCAAAAGGCUUCAUCCAGUAGAUGUAGUAUUUAUGAAGGCUCUGCAGGACAAGGUGAACGUGGUUCCUCUCAUCUCUAAAGCUGACCGCCUUACAUUCAACGAGAUCAGGAAACUCAAAGACCGGACCAUGAGGAAAUAGCUAGGUUUGGGAUAAAGAUGUGACUCUGAUGAGGAUGAGAAGGCCAAACAGAAGGGCAUGGAACUCAAGGAGAGCAUUCCAAUAUGCUGUGAUCGACAGUAACAUGGCGGUGGAGACCAGAGGUCAGGAAGUCCGAGGGAGACUCUAUCCCCGGGGUAUCGUAGAAGUAAAAUGAAUACAGAUAACCGUGUGGAGAGCCCGAUCCCCAUCCCGCCCUUGUCCACCCCCGACAUGGAGACAGAGAAAUUAAUCAAGAUGAAGGACGAGGGGGUAGUGAAUUGUUAAUUACAGUUAAUUAAUGACGUUCAAAUGAUAAUUAAAUGUAUGUGCUAAUUAUAUAAUAGCAGGGAUGGGGAGUAUCUGAUUACAUGUAAUCAGUUACAUGUAAUCUGAUAAAAAAAACAAAAAUGAACUGUACGUUACCAGCUAAUCAGAUUGUAAUCAGAUUACAGAUACUUUUGAAAAAGUAGAUGAUUACUUCUGGGAUUACUUAAAAAUUCUGAAAGGAUGUUUGCGAAAAAAUACAUUGACAUUCAAUUCAGCAUUAAAAAAAGGUGAAGUUGAAGUUUGUUCCACCUAUCAUUUGCCCCUGAGAAACACGUUUGUCUUUUUGUAAUAUCUUUUAAAGGGAAAGUAAUUUAAAAGUAAUUGAAAGUAGUCAGGCAUGUUACUGAGUUUGGGUAAUCCACAAAUUACGUUACGGAUGACAAUUUUGUACAGGUAACUAGUAACUGUAAUGGAUUACAUUUAGAAAGUAACCUACCCAACCCUGUACGAUAGUGGUUUGCAUUGAUAUAAUGCUAUAGUCUCAUGCAUACUGGACACACAUACAUUGUGUUGGAAAAGUUUUUUCUUUCCUAUUUCACUCUCAAUCCCUCUCUCUCUCUCUCUCUCUCUCUCUCUCUCUCUCUCUCUCUCUCUCUCUCUCUCCCUUCCCUCUUUCUCUCUCUGUAGUUGAGGAGGAUGCAGGAGAUGCUUCAGAAGAUGCAACAUGAGCAGGACCUGUGAACGCUGAUCCUUUACCUUUCACCCCAGAGCUUCCACCGCUCUCCUCUCACCUAAUGAUAUGCGGGAGGAGUAACACAGGGUCAAUCACACGCUGGCCAAUCACACACUGCCGCCUGACCACUGCCUCUUAAUCAGAAAACGUUCCUUGGAGUUCUAUACAGUACAGUUCUGUUUGAACUUUCUGCAAUUGUUACACCCUCUUCUGAGUAUGUGCAUGUCACCAAUCACUAACAGAGAAACUAGACACGUGGUAAAACCAACACUAAACACUCUCCAAACCAUGGACAUUAUGGAUUGGCCACACCCUACGUUGGAGUUUGACUUUUAAACAGGGUCAAGCAUUUUGUCAAUGUUUUGUUGGUGUUGUGAAAAACCUAAGAAACAAGGUUUUGUUGGAAUACCGUUAGAAGCCAAGACUGUAGCCAAGCUUUGUAGCAUUGUAGUAGAUUUGCACCUUAGAUUGCAGUUGAUGUCCAAGCCCCUUUUUGUGUAUUCAAGGGAAGUUUUUGGUACUUAAUAAGACUGUUUAUGAUUAUGGUUGAAUAUGUAUUUUGCACUCUACUUGAUCACACAGUUAGAAUGUUGGUCAGAUGAAUAUAUUCUGUUUCUAACAUUGUGUUCUUUGUUCUUUAUUUUAAUUGAUGGCGUCUUUGGAUGAGUUAAAGUGAGCAUGCGAAAUUGUGAGUGUAUGUGUUUAUAGUUUUUGUGUAUGUGAGAGAAAUAGAGAGAAUGUGCCUCUCUGUCAGAAGCAUAGACCACAGUGCCAUUUCCUGUCCGACAGAAGUUAUGAAACCAACCGAGUUUUAAGCGAUACUAAAUACUUCGUUUCCCUUUACUCCGUUGAGAGACUGAGGCUUUCUAAAGCACCCCUUCUGUCUACGAGGGCUCUCUUACGGAACAGGGGCAAAGUGUUACAGCACAAUCAAUACUCUGAGAGUCUACUUUAGAUUACAUUAGAUAAAGAGUUAUUAGAUCAAACUCAAAUGAAAAACUUUAUAGGACCAGAACCUAUCCACUUGACAAGAUUGCAUUACACCC